GAAAAAAACAGUCCGGUCUUUUUAAUUUAGAAAGUAUCCUUUGUGCAAUGCAUUGUGGGUAUGUAAAUAACCUUUUUUUUUUUUUUUUUUUUUUUUUUUUUAAACGGUGCUGGGGAUCGCGCACAGGGCUUCUUGCGUGGCACGGUGGAACACACCUGUAAUCUAGCACUCAGACUGAGGCAGAAUUGCAAGUUACAGCGCAGCCUGGGCAAUUUGAUAAACACUACUGACAUUACUAAAUAUCUUAAUGCACACGACAAGAUUGCUUCAAUGAAAACAGAAGUGUGAGAACUGCAUGAAGAGUUGAUCACAGGACUAUGAGUCAUCAUGCCAGGGCCUUUAGGUUAUAAAAAUUACAGCAUGGAUAAAGAAUAUUAAUCAUCAGCUACCUUUCUUCAACCAAAAACUCCUGGAAUAUCUUUAAUGCUUCAGAGAUGAGCAGCAGACAAUUUAAAAGAAAGGAUAAAGGAUGCAACCGAGCUGUUUCUAUGUGACUCGAGUCUUGAAAGAUUGUAUUGUGGCACAAUAAAAAUGUCCUUGCAGGCUGUAGAGGUAGAAAAUUGGGUUAACCUAUCUUUAAUACAGAAACUAAUUUUCAGUAAUACCCACAUUUUUAGUCUUGUGUUUUCUUUUUCUUUUUUUUUUUUUUUGGUGCCAGGAUCAAACUCGGGACCUUGCGUUUUGUGAGGCAGAUGCUGAACCACUGAGCUAAAUCUCCUGCCCUAGUCUUGUGUUUUCUUAUUUAUUUAAUGUUCAGGGCUGCUGUGGAUUGUAUUCAGGGCCUCAGGCAAGCUAAGCACACACCAAAGCACUGAGCUAUACCACCAGCCCCUCCCCUCUUUUUUUUGUACCGGGAUCGAAGUCGGAACCUUGCGCUGCCUAGGCAGGCACCUGAACCACUGAGCUAAAUCCCCACCCCCGCUCCUUUUGCUUUUUUGAGAAAAGGUCUGGCUAUACAGUUCAGGCUGUCCUUGAACUCACUGCAGUUCUCCUGCCUCAUCCACCCAAGUGCUGAGAUGAUAGGCAUGCACCACGCCACCUGGCUUCUCUUAACCUUUUGAUGUAGCUUUGGCAGAUAGAAUCAUGCUUGAAGCUAGAGGCUGCCAGCUUUCAACUAGUAGUUGCUAGUGAAACUUUGGUACAGUGAGGAUAAGAUGUUGUUGGCAUAGUGUAAUGUAAAAUAAAACAGUAAAACAUAGUCUGGUUUUUUGUUUUUGUUUUUUUUUAGACAAGAGUCUCACUCUGUAGUCUAGGCUGGCCUGGAAGUUGUUAAGUAGUUCAAACUGGUCUCAAACUCAAGCUCCUCCUGCCUCAGCUUCCCCAACUGCUGGGAAUAUAGGUAUACAGUCUUAAAAUGUUGGAAACAGCACCAUGCCUGCCUCAUAAGCACAAGGUCAUGAGUUUGAUCCCCAGUGCCAGAAAAAAAAAAAAAAGUUGGAAACUGGGCAUGGUGGUGUACACCUGUAAUCUCAGGACUCUGGGAGGCUGAGGCAGGAGAGUCAUUAGCGUCAAGCCCAGCUUGGACAAUUUAGCAACUUAGUGAGAUCCUAUUUCAAAACAAAAAAUAAAAAGUGAGCUGGUGAUGUAGCUCAGUACAAAGGUUCUCGGUUCAAUUCCCAGUUUAAAAAAAAAAGUUGGAGGGCUGGGGAUUUAGCUCAGUGGUUCCACCGCCUCUGCCUUGCAAGCCCAAGUCCCGAGUUUGAUCCCUGGUCCCAAAAAAAAUUUUUUUUAAAGUUUGAUAAAAAUGAAGAUUGACAUUUAUAAGGGAUUUAAAUUUUUUUUUUUUUGAGUACAGAUUCCUGCUUUAUAUUUACAUCUAUCCUAUACCUUAAAACCACAAAAUUGUCCUGGAUUAAUGGUAAGGAAUAAAAAAAAAAUAGUAAGGAAUCCUCCUUAGGACAUCCAGACUUCCAAAGUUUAAUGUAUACCUACUAAUGGUCACAGACAGUUACAUUCGCCCUAGGGCCUGUGAUGACAGUUUUUAACUUUUGUAUAUAAAACACCUAUCCCUUUGACACAGACUAAUGAAGGUACAUGUAACAGAUUAAUUUUUAUUGGUUUUGUUUUCUUUUUUUUUGGUACCGGGGAUCAAACUUGGGUCCUUCCACUUGUGAGGCAGGCAGUGGAACCACUGAGCUAAAUCCCCAGUCCUAACAGAUUCAUUUUUUAAAAAAACAACACAAGAAGCUGAGCAUGGUGGCACACACCUGUGAUCCCAGCUAUUUAGGAGGUUGAGGCAGAAGGACUCAAAGUUUAAGGUUAGCCUGGGCAAUUUAUUAAGACCCUGUUCUCAAAAUUUUAAAAAGGGCUUAGGAUAUAGCUCAGUGGUAGACUACUUGUCUAGCAUCCAAAGGCUCUUAAAAAAAAAGACUUCUUUUAUAAUGUUAAACCUGCUCUGUGGUAUUUAUUUUUUCAGAACAGAAACAUUAUUCAACAACCAUUAACCAUCAAGGCCGACAGGGUCUGAGAGUCUGAGGUUAUAUACAGCAUAGUGUAGUACUACGAAAGUUGUCUUUGUUUGUUUGAAACGGUCUCAUUAUGUAGUUCUGGCUGGACUUGAACUCGUUAUGUAGCCCAGCCUGGCCUUGAGCUCUCAGUGAUCCUCCUGCCUCAGCCUCCUGAGUGCUGGAAUUAUAGGCCUGUGCCACCAUUCUCAGUAUCAUCCUUCCAUAGUUCUUACCUCCCAUCCAUCUCCUCACCUUUUCAGCAGACAUUUUAAUUUGGCUUGUGAUAUUUUAAAAUGGCUUCUGUAAUCUCAUAAUUUAAAGGCAUAAACAGUUAAGCAAUAAACAC
rnacentral:lncRNA from 1 species